rnacentral:tRNA from 1 species
AGAGCAUAUGAACUACAUAUUAAGUGCCUACAAUUAUCGAUUGUUAUUUAGCUGAGAUUGGUAGUAAGCAGGGUUGCGACAGAUUCUUCAUUGGGGUUUGCCCAAAGUUAUGCUAACCCUAUAAAUGCAUGGGUCUGUAGCUCAGCUGGUUAGAGCACCGUCUUGAUAAGGCGGGGGUCGUUGGUUCAAGUCCAACCAGACCCACCAUCUGUUUGAGUAAUACCUUUCUGUGGUACUAUGGGGGUGUAGCUCAAUUGGGAGAGCGCCUGCUUUGCAAGCAGGAGGUCAUCGGUUCGAUCCCGUUCACCUCCACCAAUUUAGAAUUUAAUUUUUAGGCUUGUUUCAAGUUUAAAAAUUAAGUUUUAUUAGCUGAUUGUUCUUUAAAAAUCUAGAAGAGACGCAACAUAAAUAUGUAUAGAUUUUACAUUUUGUAUAAUCUAUACGAUUAGGGUUGUGAUUGCAUUAAUUAUAAUUAUGUUCUUUG